rnacentral:misc_RNA from 1 species
AGUUGUUCCAAACGUUCAGCCUCCUAUGGUAUAUGAAGAACUUUUGUUAUGGACUUUAAGGUUAAAGAGUUGAUUGACAUAUUUAUUGUUAAACUUAGUGCUAAGUGAUAAUGAUAAUGAUGUAAAAAAAGGGAAGAAAGGAACAUUCAUUACUAAGUAUUGUUUACAUGGUAAAAAUUGUUUGCCUAAAUCAGACAAAAAAGAAUGACCUAAUGAACUAGCAAAUUUUGGAAGAUAAAAAAAAGUGCAUUAAGUAAAAGAUUUGAAAUUCUGUAAAGCAGAAUUAGUGUUUUUUUUCCUCUCCA